CCCAACAUCUUUAAUAGGAUGUUACGAUUGUGUGAAUACAUAGCACAUUCGAGGUAGACGCAGAGAACUGAAACAUCUAAGUACCUGCAGGAAGAGAAAGAAAAUUCGAUUCCCUGAGUAGCGGCGAGCGAAACGGGAAAAGCCCAAACCAGCAAGCUUGCUUGUUGGGGUUGUAGGACUCCAAUAUGGUAGUUCUUUCAGAUAGUCGAAUGACUUGGAAAAGUCAGUCAAAGAGGGUAAAAACCCCGUAGACGAAAUGUGGAAGACACCUAGGAGGAUCCUGAGUACGGCGGAACACGAGAAAUUCCGUCGGAAUCCGGGAGGACCAUCUCCCAAGGCUAAAUACUCCCUAGUGACCGAUAGUGAACCAGUACCGUGAGGGAAAGGUGAAAAGCACCCCGGAAGGGGAGUGAAAUAGAACCUGAAACCGUGUGCCUACAACAAGUCAAAGCCCGUUAAUGGGUGAUGGCGUGCCUUUUGUAGAAUGAACCGGCGAGUUACGAUUGCAUGCGAGGUUAAGUUGAAGAGACGGAGCCGCAGCGAAAGCGAGUCUGAAUAGGGCGUUUGAGUAUGUAGUCGUAGACCCGAAACCAUGUGAUCUACCCAUGUCCAGGUUGAAGGUGCGGUAAAACGCACUGGAGGACCGAACCCACGUACGUUGAAAAGUGCGGGGAUGAGGUGUGGGUAGCGGAGAAAUUCCAAACGAACUUGGAGAUAGCUGGUUCUCUCCGAAAUAGCUUUAGGGCUAGCCUCGGAAUU
rnacentral:rRNA from 1 species